rnacentral:rRNA from 1 species
GACGAACGCUGGCGGCGUGCUUAACACAUGCAAGUCGAGCGGUAAGGCCCUUUCGGGGGUACACGAGCGGCGAACGGGUGAGUAACACGUGGGUGACCUGCCCUCAGCUCUGGGAUAAGCCUGGGAAACCGGGUCUAAUACUGGAUAUGACUCCAUGACGCAUGUUGUGGGGUGGAAAGCCUUGUGCGGCUGAGGAUGGGCCCGCGGCCUAUCAGCUUGUUGGUGGGGUGAGGCCUACCAAGGCGACGACGGGUAGCCGGCCUGAGAGGGCGACCGGCCACACCGGGACUGAGACACGGCCCAGACUCCUACGGGAGGCAGCAGUGGGGAAUCUUGCGCAAUGGGCGAAAGCCUGACGCAGCGACGCCGCGUGAGGGAUGACGGCCU